UACAGGUCAAUGAGACAGCUGCACAAAUACUCAACAGUUGGUGUCACAGUAAACACAAGACAUCAGCGUCUUUAUCUCUAGGGGGAGAUUGAGAGCUGUAGACUUUACUGAUGUUUUUGGUUUGUAUUCUCGUGACUGUGUCAAAGUUCAUUUGAAAUGAUGGUCACACCGUACUCCACACUACAGUGUUUAGAAAACAUAAUUCAGAGACAAUUCAAUUAUUUAUUGUUUCAUUUCUUUUCUUUCUUUCUUUUGAAUUUCAGUAAAAUUGUACACAGUGAAUUUCUUUUUCUUUAUCUUCAGUAAAAAUCUUUAUUUUUUAUUUUUUGACUAAUUAAAAAUAAAUAAAUCAUGUUUCCUACAUUAAGUUAAAAGUGUACUGCAUUCUGUGACAGUCAGAAUCUAAAACAUCUUAUCUACAAACCACCGUCACCUCAUCACCUCUACGUUUGCUGUCUAAGAUAGUGACUUACACCUGGAAGUAAGAGAACCCAAACACUAAAAAUGUUUCAUGUUUUCACUGCUAACAUCUGCUAAUCAAGGCAAACAGAGGCAGCUUAAAUGUUAAUUUACAAGUAUCACUAGUGUAUGUGUGUGUAAGUGUGUGUCGUCUCACAGUAAUGACACACCUUUUUACAGAGAGCACCACCAUGUGACAGGAUGGAUGAUGUGAGGCUGAUAUCAGCUGCUGAGCUGAACGCCUCAGUGUCACUGAUCCGUCUGUUGAGCACAUCAAAAUGUUCUCAGCUCUCUUCUUCACUGUCUCUCUGUUCUGUGCUGCAGGUAGUACUGGGGGUACUGGAGUCCACCAGACCCCAGAGUUACUGGUAGAGAGGGGUCAGUCUGCUCAGAUGCACUGCAGUCAUGACCUUGGUGGCAGCUACUUUCAGAUGUGUUGGUAUCAACAGUUGGCAGGUGAGAGUAUGAAACUUGUAGUCCACACGGUGCCUUACAACAGCGAGCCAGACUUUGGGGAUUUUAGCCAGGACAAAUUCUCAGCCACGAAGGAUGAAGCAGAGAGCGGAUCGUUCACAGUGAAAAAUGUGGAACCAGAAGACAGUGGAGUGUAUUUCUGUGCCGUCAGCACGCUCACUGUGAUGCAGAUAGCUGUCAAGUUGUACAAAAACCACUCUCACUCUGGCAAUCUGUCUGAUCUGAUCAAACACACUGAAGUGGAAAAACAACAUAAGACACAGCUUGAAAAAGAUAAAAGUAACUGACAGCGUGUAACAGAAGGAAGCACAUGUUGCAGGUUGGAUCUACAGCUCAGACAAAACAAUAUAAAUGUCUUCAGACAAAAAGAUUUUAGGCUGUAAACAUUUUUAAAAGAGCAUUUCAAACACUUUGUUUAGAAAUAUAGAAUGAAUUCUAUUAUACUCUCGUUUAGUGUCAGCGAGCAGAUAAAAAUCAUUUGUUUGCUUCAUAUGGUGUUGACGUGAACAGUGUCUCUGUUCAUAUUCUUUUCAGGCCCUUAUAGAGACAAAUUUAACAUACAGAACUUACAGAUUAUGUAUGUUGAAAUUUAAAUCA